GCAGGGAUAACCAAGUUGGUCAACGGUGCCGGACUUUUUUGAGAAGAAAAAAUUCUUAUUAACCGAACUCAAGAUCUAUUUAUUAUAAUAUCCGUUGAGUAACAUAAUAACAAAUGAGAUAUCCGGUGAGAUAGCUCUUCGUGGGUUCGACUCCCACUCCCUGCA
rnacentral:tRNA from 1 species